GAUGAACGCUAGCGGCGGGCCUAACACAUGCAAGUCGAGGGGCAGCAUAUUGAUAGUUUACUAUUAAUGAUGGCGACCGGCGGACGGGUGCGUAACGCGUAUGCAACCUACCUUUAACAGGGGGAUAAUCGAGAGAAAUUUUGUUUAAUACCCCGUAACACUAGAUGAGGCAUCUUAUUUAGUUGAAAGAUUUAUUGGUUAAAGAUGGGCAUGCGUGACAUUAGCUAGAUGGUACGGUAACGGCGUACCAUGGCGACGAUGUCUAGGGGAACUGAGAGGUUAAUCCCCCACACUGGUACUGAGACACGGACCAGACUCCUACGGGAGGCAGCAGUGAGGAAUAUUGGUCAAUGGGCGAGAGCCUGAACCAGCCAUGCCGCGUGCAGGACGACGGCUCUAUGAGUUGUAAACUGCUUUUGUAUAGGAAUAAAAAGAGGGAUGUAUCCCUCCUUGCAUGUACUAUACGAAUAAGGAUCGGCUAACUCCGUGCCAGCAGCCGCGGUAAUACGGAGAAUUCGAGCGUUAUCCGGAUUUAUUGGGUUUAAAGGGUGCGUAGGUUGUAAUUUAAGUUAGUGGUCAAAUCUAGUGGCUUAACCAUAUAGUCGCCAUUAAUACUGAAUUACUAGAGUAUAGAUGCAGCAGGCGGAAUGUGUAGUGUAGCGGUGAAAUGCUUAGAUAUUACACAGAACACCAAUUGCGAAGGCAGCUUGCUAAACUAUAACUGACACUGAUGC
rnacentral:rRNA from 1 species